AAACAAUUCACUGAAGAGCUGGUUGAUUAUGUGGAUCAUUUCAUUUCAAAAUCAAGUGAGGAGAACAGUUUGGAUUGUUCAGUUCUUUAUAUGGGUUUGAUGGAGAAAGUAAGAGCUAUGAUAGGAGUAGGAGGUAAAGUAGGUGAGGAAUGUGAAUCAUUGCAGAAGAUUCUGUGCAGAUGUUUGAAUUUUGACCCAGGGAGUCGCCCA
rnacentral:misc_RNA from 1 species